AAGCUAACUUCAGCAGCACAUAUACUAAAAUUGGAAUGAUACAGAAAAGACUAGCAUGGCCCCUGUGCAAGGAUGACACACAAAUUCAUGAAGCAUUGCAUACUUUU
ensembl:snRNA U6 U6 spliceosomal RNA